rnacentral:rRNA from 1 species
UACGUAGGUGGCAAGCGUUGUCCGGAAUUAUUGGGCGUAAAGCGCGCGCAGGCGGCCUCUUAAGUCUGAUGUGAAAGCCCCCGGCUCAACCGGGGAGGGCCAUUGGAAACUGGGAGGCUUGAGUAUAGGAGAGAAGAGUGGAAUUCCACGUGUAGCGGUGAAAUGCGUAGAGAUGUGGAGGAACACCAAUGGCGAAGGCGACUCUUUGGCCUAUAACUGACGCUGAGGCGCGAAAGCGUGGGGAGCAAACAGG